UUGUUUGGUACGAAGAUACUUGAGUCCCGGGAAAAGAGAAAGCCAGAAAGGAUACUUUUGUUCCAAAAAAUCUACGAUUUCUGGCGCAACAGAAUUGCAGACGUCACCUAGUUAUAGGUAUAAAUUGCAUUUUACUUAUCAUAGAUUUAAAAAACCCUAUAAGACUUCCGAUACAAAGUUCCAAAUCCGCAUCAAGAUUCAAUAUAAAGGAACUGUAGCGUAGUUUACCAAAGACUAACUUUUUUCUACAACCUUGCAAAUGCUAUUGUUAAGUUAAAGGUAUAUAAACAGACGAUUCCAAUCGGAAGACACAGUUUUGGUGUAGACGCAAGCAUCAACUCACUAUUCAAUAUGCCUUCGCCUUGUGAACCAUGCAAAGAAUCCUGCAAAGAUGGAGCCGACUGUAAAAAUGACUGUAGCUGCGACGACGACUGCACCGACUGCCCCACCACUGGAAAAUGCGGCUGAAGUGGACAUCGAAUGAUGAAAAGUCAUCAUCAUGCAGAGACACACCUACUGUUCAUGAUUAACUAGGAAAUUUUAAAAUCAAUAAAUGUUUGUUGCUAUUA